UAUUGGAGUACAUAGGCCAGUUUAGAUUAAUUCUAUUUGUUCGGUUUAGUAUUGGUUAGAUCUUAUACCACACUUGUAUAUAACAGAGUAAUUGUACAGUGUAAUCAUUAGAACUUUCUCAUUCAUCUUAAUGAUUACACUGUACAAUUACUCUGUUAUAUACAAGUGUGGUAUAAGAUCUAACCAAUACUAAACCGAACAAAUAGAAUUAAUCUAAACCGGCCUAUGUACUCCAAUA